UAUUAAAGUUGUUGCGGUUAAAAAGCUCGUAGUUGAAUCUGUGUCUCGCGCUGUCGGUUCACCGCCCGCGGUGUCAAACUGGCACGCCCGCGAGACGUCCUGCCGGUGGGACGGCGUGGCGGUGCGAGCGCGCGCGGCGCGGCCCUCGGGUCGUCGUCGUAGUCGCGCCGCUGCCGUCCGCUCCGUCCCGACUUCGAAUCCUGCCGCGGUGCUCUUCGCUGAGUGUCGAGGUGGGCCGGCACGUUUACUUUGAACAAAUUAGAGUGCUCAAAGCAGGCUGAAACUUCGCCUGAAUACUGUGUGCAUGGAAUAAUGAAACAGGACCUCGGUUCUAUUUUGUUGGUUUUCGGAACCCCGAGGUAAUGAUUAAUAGGGACAGAUGGGGGCAUUCGUAUUGCGACGUUAGAGGUGAAAUUCUUGGACGUCGCAAGACGGACAGAAGCGAAAGCAUUUGCCAAAAAUGUUUUCAUUAAUCAAGAACGAAAGUCAGAGGUUCGAAGGCGAUCAGAUACCGCCCUAGUUCUGACCAUAAACGAUGCCAGCUAGCGAUCCGCCGACGUUCCUCCGAUGACUCGGCGGGCAGCUUCCGGGAAACCAAAGCUUUUGGGUUCCGGGGGAAGUAUGGUUGCAAAGCUGAAACUUAAAGGAAUUGACGGAAGGGCACCACCAGGAGUGGAGCCUGCGGCUUAAUUUGACUCAACACGGGAAACCUCACCAGGCCCGGACACCGGAAGGAUUGACAGAUUGAGAGCUCUUUCUUGAUUCGGUGGGUGGUGGUGCAUGGCCGUUCUUAGUUGGUGGAGCGAUUUGUCUGGUUAAUUCCGAUAACGAACGAGACUCUAGCCUGCUAACUAGGCGUUACUUUCCGGCAUCUCGAAGGCUCGCGUCUCCCGUUCGCCGGCGCGGGCGGGUGUCGCGUUGCGGCGCUCCGGCGCUUGCGCGCGCCCCGUCCGUCCGGUCGGGUGUUCGCGGUUUUUACUGCCGGCGUACACAUGAAUCUUCUUAGAGGGACAGGCGGCUCCUAGCCGCACGAGAUUGAGCAAUAACAGGUCUGUGAUGCCCUUAGAUGUUCUGGGCCGCACGCGCGCUACACUGAAGGAAUCAGCGUGUCCUCCCUGGCCGAGCGGUCCGGGUAACCCGCUGAACCUCCUUCGUGCUAGGGAUUGGGGCUUGCAAUUGUUCCCCAUGAACGAGGAAUUCCCAGUAAGCGCGAGUCAUAAGCUCGCGUUGAUUACGUCCCUGCCCUUUGUACACACCGCCCGUCGCUACUACCGAUUGAAUGAUUUAGUGAGGUCUUCGGACCGGUACGCGGCGAGGUUUCGACGUCGCCGAUGUCGCUGGGAAGAUGACCAAACUUGAUCAUUU
rnacentral:rRNA from 1 species